GAUGUACGCUGGCGGCGUGCCUAAUACAUGCAAGUCGAGCGAAUGGAUUAAGAGCUUGCUCUUAUGAAGUUAGCGGCGGACGGGUGAGUAACACGUGGGUAACCUGCCCAUAAGACUGGGAUAACUCCGGGAAACCGGGGCUAAUACCGGAUAACAUUUUGAACCGCAUGGUUCGAAAUUGAAAGGCGGCUUCGGCUGUCACUUAUGGAUGGACCCGCGUCGCAUUAGCUAGUUGGUGAGGUAACGGCUCACCAAGGAAACGAUGCGUAGCCGACCUGAGGGGGUGAUCGGCCAGACUGGGACUGAGACACGACCCAGACUCCUACGGGAGGCAGCAGUAGGGAAUCUUCCGCAAUGGACGAAAGUCUGACGGAGCAACGCCGCGUGAGUGAUGAAGGCUUUCGGGUCGUAAAACUCUGUUGUUAGGGAAGAACAAGUGCUAGUUGAAUAAGCUGGCACCUUGACGGUACCUAACCAGAAAGCCACGGCUAACUACGUGCCAGCCGCCGCGGUAA
rnacentral:rRNA from 1 species